ACUCAAGCCUCUGACCCCCUGGCCUCUAACAACGGGACUCAAGCCUCUGACCCCCUGGCCUCUAACAACGGGACUCAAGCCUCUGACCCCCUGACCACUAACAACGGGACUCAAGCCUCUGACCCUUUGGCCUCUAACGCCUCUAACAACGUGACUCAAGCCUCUGACAACCACAAACUGGCCUCCGACAUCUCUGAGAAGCCUGCUUCGAGUCAAAGCAACAACUCCAUGAUGCCCAUUCAUCACAAUCAAAAUGUUUCACAAACAUCGCUAAGCAAAGGUUGCAGGAAACACUAUAAGGCCGUUGGACUACAAUUGCUUCAGGCGAUCUCAAAUUACAAGGAUGUUAAAGAAGUAAGCCGAGAGUCGGAUCAGGUGAACGCCGAGGCAUCAUCAGGAACUGACCCCAAAGCAGUCGGGGCUGCUUUGGAUGCCAACGAUUUAGCCGCUCUGAAUAAUGUUUUAACUGGACAACAGCAUAAUGGACAAGAAAC